AAGUUGGAAAAUGAAAUUUUGUGAAUUUUUGUGGAAAUUUUAAACGUGAAAACGUAAAAUUUUUGAAUUUGGCGAUUUUGGGAAUGUCGAGAAUCUUCCCGAAUGUUAUUCGAAUGUGCUGAAUGAUGUGAAUUUCAAACUGGAACGACGUGAAUGUCAAAUGUUGAAUGUGCCAUUAAGAAUGAAUGGGGGAAAACCCCCCACAUGAUUUAACAUAACUAUUUGAGAUGACUUCUUUAAAUAAACCAUCUUGAACGUUCUAUGCAAAAGUUAUUAUCUGAACCUCACCUGUAUCUAGUCAGUUAGCCAAUCGAACUCAAUGAAGUCCCUGAUGAAGGAGAUCACAUGGGGGGUUCAUGUAUGAAGUCUUCCUCCUCACCACUCUCCCAGUCUUCCGGCUCAUCUGCUCCUUGGCACUGCACUUGGUGGAGUCAGGAUUAAUCCUGACCAAAAACACAUGAAAUGAGUAUAGGAGUUAGAGGUUGAGACACUACGUACAUGUCAACGAGUAAUCAGUUAGCAAAUCACAACUGUGAUUGGGGGGGAAUUAAUUACAAGAAUCGAUAAAAAUAAAUUGUUUUAAUUAAAUAAAAUAUUGCAGUAUUUUAUAUUUGCAUUACAUUUAUUUUACUAUUAAGGGGUGAUAAUACUGCCUGAAUAACACUUGUUACUCUAGGUAUUCACAUAAGUUCAGUUAUGAUACAAGUAGUUAGUUGUGAACACAAUGGCAGCCAGCAAGAAUUGAAACGCUGUGUUGCAAUUAUCAGAGAGAUGCCAGUGGGAAUAAAGUUAGGUAUAUGAUUUUAUCGGUUAAUACCUCUGAAUAAACUCCAAUGUUGUGCAGGCUGAUACUCUAGGUUGAAAACAUAGUAACAGGCGAAGAGUGGCCAAGGCAGUGGUGAAGUCAGCCAGGUGAGCAGCAGGUGGGAUUAUGACCCGCCCCUCGAUCGACAGCAUCCAUUUUUUUGCAGUCAGGAUUGUCUCUCCUUAAAGUCAGACAUUACAAAAAUCAUAUUUCCCAGCAAUCCAUUUUAUAAAUGAUCUGGUUCACAUGAAUGACUGUAAAAACAGGGCAGGGAGCAUACAUAUCUUCCAAGCUGUACAUAAAACUGAUAAAAGGAGCAUAUAUAGUAACUGAGUUGGUGAAAGAUGAACAAAAAGUGACACAUGUAUAGCAAGCAAUCUGAAAUCGGAGUAAUGACAAACGAGUUGGCUACUAGGGAUGAGUGAGUACACCAUUAGCUGUAUCUGUUCGAUCAACUAGAUCAGGAAUUAUCAAUAUCCGUACUCUGAAUGGCUUAACCCGGAAGUGGGUGUGGUUCAACCCAGAAAUAGGCUGAUCCUGCCCCACAAGUUGUCUUUUUUGCCAGAAAUGUAUACAAGUUGAUCGAGCUGACAAAAAGCUACAACCUUCAACAGUGCAAGCCAAGUCAACUCCAAUUUGCCUUUCAAGUCCUGGUUUAGCUGUCCUCUUGUGAGAGCGGUACAUGUGAACUUGAAGGGCGUCACGUGUGUAAAAAGUGGCAAAGCAUUCUGCUACCCCACAUGGAAAUCUGAAGUUAGCUAAAUUUCUGUGAAUCCUCAAAUGACGAACAAAUGCAGGGAUUGAAGCUGUGGUGAAAUUACAGUACUUGCA